CCAAAAUAACAAGUCACAGGAUGCCUGUCUAGAGGGUAGCUUUGCUGAAAAUAACCUGGAGACUGAACAGAAGUCAGCAGUGUGUCCUUGUGCAUUAGAAGAUAACUCUGUGCUGAGCCAAGGGCAUGCUGGACAUUAAUGAUUCUUCCUCAUUGUUCAGUUAUUGUGAGAGCAUUAUCUGGAGAACUCUGUGAAGUGUUAGUUCCCCAGUACAAGAAAGUCAUUGACAUGCUGGAGCAAGCUGGUGCAAGGAAGAUGGUCAAACAGAGGAAAACUCACCCAGGAAGGAGGCUCUGCCCUUCAAGAUAUUCAGUACAUAAUUGGGAGGGCUUAUGCUUAAGACCAUUGGAUGCUGCACUGGAUUUCAAGAUUCUCCUCUUCAAGAUCACCUACUUUGCACAGCCUUAUUCUGUAAAAAGAAAAAGAGAGCAAGAGACAGAGAGGAAUGUGCCCAGGACUCUGUGGUACCCAGGUCAGACAAGCCCAAAAAUCUCUUCCCGGGCUCUGCUCCAAUGAAUAUUUAAUCAUUCUAUGCAGAGUGUGAAAGAUGGCACGAGAAAGAUUUAGGCUUCCAGCCUAGAAAAAUCUGGCACCUUCUUAUAAUGUGGUAAAUACUGGGCAAUGAAAGGCUUUGAAGCCAGGUCUCCUCUCUCCCAGAGGUGUGUUUCAAUUGCAAGGCUCCUGAAGAAAAGCAGAGUUCCUCUUCUUUGCCUUCGUCAUCCUGUAGAGAGAAAAUAAAGAGGCUAAGUUUGCCUCACUGGAGCCAGAGAACAAGCUAAGUGUUCUUCUGUCUAUCCUGUGAAUCCUGAUGGGAUUUUAGCUAGAACUGAAAAUCCCCAGAGUUCAGGCUCUCGGGAUAUGUGCUGAGCAAAAUAUUACGGUGCUUAUGGUGCUUAAGUCACAGCUUACAGUGACUAAAGACUUAACCUGUGGAAACUUUGGAGUACUUUGAUAUGAUAUUUGCUAACUGUAUCAACUCUGUUGUUUGGAGGAAAUACCUUUUUGUACACUCCCAGUGGAACACUAACAAACUUUGAUCCUUCUGCAACUUUCUGUUUAUGGCAUAUUCAGGUAAUUCAAUUUCUGCUCAUUUUCUGUUCAUUCAUUCAAAAAAAAAAAAAAAAGUCUGUUAAAAUUCUUUUUGCUGACUAAUUACUAGAUCAAAGAAGGCCUGUUUACAAAAUGGAAAGCUUCCCAAAAAACAUUUUUGUUAGGGUUAAUGCAUGUAUGCAUUUUGAACAAAUAAUUUUAAAUUUUGGACAGCAUACUCAGAUUUUUGUUGUCCCAUUUUGUAAUAGAAUUUGAUUAAUUGUCUAAGAUAGUAUUUUUCUAAAUUAAGUAGAUUUUUGUAGAAUCAUAUUGUUAAAACUGGGGAAAAGACUAAAAUUUGCAUCUUUUUUUUUUUUUUUUUUUACCUAAACACAACAGGUGACUGUGAGAAUGCAAAGGGAGUUAAUAGGCAUGCAUAUUCAUGUUUUAGCUUUUUGAAAAAUAAGGUAUUGUUGUUAUACUCUGAAGUUUGGUGGC
ensembl:lncRNA